CUCUUGUGAGGCAAGGAGGGAGCCAAGACCAGGCUGAGCAGGCUGUGGGGUGCAGAUCAUCACUGACCACCUGUAAAUGCCAUGGGCAACAGCUCUGCUCCCACAGGGGCAGCCAGUCUUCAAGGUCUGUCACGGCCCCUAGUGGCUCAGAGGCACCCAGACAGCGCCGUGGGCCCGGCAGCAGCAGCCCGGAGAAGGGUGAAGUGCUGCAGGGCAAACUGUGGGCAUGGGUGAAGUGAUGGGGCCUGGGAAGCCUGGGCGUGUUCAACAGCUCUGUGAGCCAAAACAAGUUCCAGCAAAUCCCAUCAUAUAUUUCUUGCAAGAUUGGUCAUGCUUAUAAUUUUCAAUAAAAAUAUUUUUGUUGACUGAAAGGAAAAAUGU
rnacentral:lncRNA from 1 species